CAGCCCCAAUUAAAUGUUUCCUUUAUAGGAGUUGCCUUGGUCAUGGUGUCUCUUUACAGCAAUGGAAACCCUAACAAAGACAGUCUCUUACCAUGCCCGUCUGCAUUUGAACGUGGUGUACAUGCCCACAGUCUACCAGACAAGUGUGAUUAGCAACUCAAGACAAUUGAAAAGCUCAACUCUUUCUCUGUUAUACCAGACAAAUUUGGGUGAAUUAAAUAAGGUUAACGUCAGGACUUUAUUAUAAGUACACCUCUUGUUUCAUUUUAUUAUUUAUUUAUUUAUUUAUUUAGCAUCUAUGUGCAUGUUUCAGUACAUAUACGGAAGUUGGAUACAACGUGCAGAAAUCGGUUCUCUCCUUCCACGUGUGUAGUCCCCAGGGAUGAGACUCAAGUUGUCAGACUAGGAGACUGCCCAUUGAGACAUCUUCAAAGCCCAACACGCUUAGAAGCCUGAUGCAUGGUGAACAGUGCCUUGGGGAACUAAAAGAGGCUCCAGGAAAAAAGGCAGAGGGCCUUUGACCUCAGGCAUAUUUCUUCCCUGGAUUGCUCCUGGACAUGAUUUUGUACCUCCCAUGGCAAACAUUUAUGUUCAAGAUGGAUGUUGGAAAGAUGCAUGCUGGGAACCAAACUCGCACCCUCUGCAAGAGCAGCAAGCACACGUAACCACUGAGCUAUGUCUCUCCAGCCCCUGGAGAAUGGCCAGCACAAAAGCGACUCAACUGGAUUUCAGAGAGAAACGUACGGCAGCAAAGCGUGGGUUUGCGAGAAGUGCACCCCAAAAGGCUUUGGAAGCGCGGGGCUGGCUGGCAUGACAACGACCCACCUUGGGAACCUAGCGAGCCAGGUGGAAAGAUUUCAGAGCUCCGGGUCAGAGAGUAUGCAAAGACGAGAACAGGUCUGUCCGCUGGUGCCCUGCCGGUGUAGCAUGGAUUGCUUUUUAAAUAUUUCACGCCACAGAUGUGUACCACGAAGGUCAUCCUCACCCAAUCUGGAUUAUUAAAAAUUUGCUUUGAA